rnacentral:rRNA from 1 species
AUUUUUGGACAAUGUGCGCAAGCCUGAUCCAGCCAUGCCUCGCGAGUUAAUAUGGCCUUCGGGUUGUAAAGCAUUUCCGGACGGAAAGAAAUCGCGCAAGCUACUACCCUGCGAGGAUUACGGUACCGUCAUAAGAAGCACCGGCUAACUAAGUUUCAGACUCCGCGGUAAGAUGUAGGGUGCGAGCGCUAAUCGGAAUUACUGGGCGUAAAGCGUGCGCAGGCGGUUGAUUAAGACAGGCGUGAAAUCCCCGGGCUUACCCUGGGAACUGCGCUUGUGACUGGUCAGCUAGAGUACGGCAGAGGGGGGUGGAAUUCCACGUGUAGCAGUGAAAUGCGUAGAGAUGUGGAGGAACACCGAUGGCGAAGGCAGCCCCCUGGGCCGAUACUGACGCUCAUGCACGAAAGCGUGGGUAGCAAACAGG